AUCACAUUCCACAGUACACGAAUCAGAAAAUCACCUUUGAAUUUGAUUGCGUGCUUUGACACAGAUAGAAUCGUAAGCCUAACUCGUUGAUUCUUCACCUUUCUAUUUUGGCCAACUUUCUACAAAACCCUAAUCGUUUUGCCUCCCAAAACGAUGCGUUUGUUUGCCAAAUUCAAUACAAUUCCAUAACCAUGAAGCUCUAGUUUUCAUUUCAAUGGCCUCUUAUCGACUCCUCUCCUGUUAUCAGUAUUAUCAAUAACGACAACAACUGAAGCUUUGGUGAUUCAUAUUCACGCUCCAUGGAAGCUCGUAGAGGUUGGCGUGCCGUUCCCAAGGUUCGCCAGGUCGGAUUCUUCACUCCCAAUGAGCCACCGCCGCCUGCUCGGACUCAGUCUGGGCCGCCUGACUCUAACUCGCCGCCGCUUUCCAAUUCUCCUGCGGGCAACUCCUUAUCUCCAGUUAUGAUCCCCCCGCCACGUCACCUCUCUGAUAACCUUGCUCAUCGCGCCACUUCGCCACUCCCUGUCCCAGAGACAUCGGCCUUCCGCCGACCUAUCCCCGGCGGCGACCGUGUGGCGGUGGUGGGCAGCUACAACCCUACCGAUUCGAUGCUUGGAGCGUCGCCGCCGCUGACCUCGCCUUCAAGUAGGAUCGGCGAUGGAGAAUUUUCGGAGGAAUCGUCUCCUGGUUGGUUUCGCAGGAGCAACUCUGCUAAGUUCGCCUCGAGUUUCCCUGGUGGUGGAUUCGAUUUGACGUCGAUAAAGUCAUCGGAGACUUUGGAAGUUGAAGUGAAAAAGCCUGUUGAAGUACCUGAAAAAAGUGGAGUGGCUGGUGCAGAGCUGCAAACUGAAUCACAAUCAAGUUCAAAGCCAUUGAAAGCUAAAACAACAAAGGCUGAAAGACGUGCCUUGCAGGAAUCCCAACGAGCUGCCAAAGCUGCUGCAAAAGGAGAAGCCACCGGUAAACCUGCUAUCUCAUCUGAGGGAGCAGCGACCAGUAAACCUGUGAAGCAGCAACCAUCACGAAAGAAAGAUGCUCUUCCUGCUGCAACAUCAGUUGCAGCUUCUGACAGGAAAGGAGUAGAUCGUACACCAGAGAAAGAGAGGAAGAAAGAAGUCCCUCCUCCACGCAUGCAAUUUGAUGAUAAAAAUCGAGUGGAAAAGGCUAAAAAGCGUGCAGUGGUCAAUCAAACUGAAGCUAGGAAUAGGGUUGAGUUGUUCCGACACUUGCCUCAGUAUGAGCGUGGAAGCCAGCUUCCUGAUCUUGAGUCAAAAUUUUUCCUACUUGAUCCAAUGCAUCCUGCUGUUUACAAGGUUGGAUUACAGUAUUUGGCGGGAGAUAUCUCUGGAGGUAAUGCUCGUUGUAUUGCAAUGCUACAGGCAUUUCAGGAAGUCAUUAAAGACUACUCCACACCACCAGAAAAAUCUCUUACCAGGGAUUUAACGGCAAAAGUUGGUAGUUAUGUUUCCUUUUUGAUUGAAUGCCGACCACUUUCUAUGAGUAUGGGAAAUGCAAUUAGGUUUUUGAAGAAUCGUAUUGCAAAGCUGCCUUUAAGUCUUUCUGAAUCAGAAGCAAAAGAAUCCCUUUGUUCAGAUAUCAAUCGUUUCAUAAAUGAGAAGAUAGUACUUGCUGACAAGGUGAUAGUUAGACAUGCUGCUUCAAAAGUCAGGGACGGGGAUGUUCUUCUUACGUAUGGAUCAUCAUGUGUUGUUGAGAUGAUUCUGUUAUAUGCCCAUGAGCUUGGGAAACAGUUCAGGGUUGUGAUAGUGGACUCACGCCCUAAACUUGAAGGCCAAGCUUUACUUCGUAGGCUGGUGGCAAAGGGCCUGAAUUGUACAUAUACUCACAUAAAUGCAGUUUCUUAUAUCAUGCAUGAAGUCACUAGAGUAUUUCUUGGGGCUUCCUCAGUAUUGUCCAAUGGAACUGUUUAUUCGAGGGUUGGAACUGCAUGUGUUGCUAUGGUUGCUCAUGCAUUCCGUGUUCCAGUGUUAAUAUGCUGUGAAGCAUAUAAGUUUCAUGAAAGGGUUCAACUGGAUUCAAUAUGCUCCAAUGAACUAGGUGAUCCAGAUGCCAUUGCAAAGGCUUCUGGAAGAAUGGAUGUAAAUUACGUGGAUAAUCUGGCUAAUAAAGAAAAUCUUCAGCUUUUAAAUUUGAUGUAAGCUUCUAUAUGUUCUAUGACAAAAAGAAUAGGAAAAAAAAGAUGGAAAGACAAAUCUAUUUUUAUAAAUGGUGAUGACUUAUAUGGAUGUUAUAUUCUGACAGGUAUGAUGCCACUCCUUUAGAAUAUAUCUCUAUGAUUGUCACCGAUUAUGGCAUGAUCCCACCAACAAGUGUCCCUGUUAUUGUGCGGGAGUAUCGGAGGGAGCACUUGUGGAUAUAGUUUUGCAUGGACAUUAUUAUUGGGCUAGUAAGGGAUUUCAUGUUGAGUUUCAGUUAAGGAACCAAGCUCACAGUUGUGGAAUUGAACACGAGAUGAUAACAAGAUCUAUAAAUUCUACAGCAUUUAGUUGUGAUAUGGGCUUUGCCCAUAUGAUGAUUUUGUGCCUUGUCAAAUUUACUUUGUAUUAUUUGUUUUUCUUAGUAAUUGUGCAGAAAGGUUGCGUUUUGUUGCCUCUCAUGACAGUUUUGAUUUUGGAGGUGGUUAUAUUUGUAACAAAAAUUUCCCCCUUUGCUUUUUUACCCAUCAUCAAUAUUGAAUUUCAACAACCACAUGAAGGAAACACCCUUUAGAGGGGACAACUACCCAGGAAGUCCUUGAAUUUUAUUUGUAGAUGAGUCCUUUCACUUGUCAAAGCAUAUUAAACUAGUCCAUCACUGGAUUAUUCAAUUUGUUUUAUGUGGGUAUUGGAGCUGGUUGGGAUCCACAUUGAUCAACAUAUUGCAUGUAAACGUUAGAUUAGAUUUUACAAUGUUAGGUAUUUCUAAACCUUAAAAAAAAUGUUGUAACCAGCAAUGGAUUGGCU
rnacentral:misc_RNA from 1 species